CCUACGGGUGGCAGCAGUGAGGAAUAUUGGUCAAUGGGCGAGAGCCUGAACCAGCGAAGUCGCGUGAAGGAUGAAGGUUCUAUGGUUUGUAAACUUCUUUUAUAUGGGAAUAAAGUGAGGAACGUGUUCCUUUUUGUAUGUACCAUAUGAAUAAGCAUCGGCUAACCCCGUGCCAGCAGCCGCGGUAAUACGGAGGAUGCGAGCGUUAUCCGGAUUUAGUGGGUUUAAAGGGUGCGUAGGUGGUAAAUUAAGUCAGCGGUGAAAGUUUGUGGCUCAACGAUAAAAUUGCCGUUGAAACUGGUUGACUGGAGUGUAUUUGAGGUAAGCGGAAUGCGAGGUGUAGCGGUGAAAUGCAUAGAUAUCACGAGGAACACCGAUUGCGAAGGCAGCUUACUAAACUAUAACUGACACUGAAGCGCGAAAGCGUGGGGAGCAAACAGGAUUAGAUACCCGGGUAGUC
rnacentral:rRNA from 1 species